UACGUAGGGUGCAGGCGUUAAUCGGAAUUACUGGGCGUAAAGCGUGCGCAGGCGGUUUGUUAAGACAGGUGUGAAAUCCCCGGGCUUAACCUGGGAAUUGCGCUUGUUACUGGCAGACUUGAGUGUGGCAGAGGGGGGUAGAAUUCCACGUGUAGCAGUGAAAUGCGUAGAUAUGUGGAGGAAUACCGAUGGCGAAGGCAGCCCCCUGGGUCGAUACUGACGCUCAUGCACGAAAGCGUGGGGAGCAAACAGG
rnacentral:rRNA from 1 species